UUUUCAUUUUUCUUUUUUUAAAGAUGUCAAAGAUAUAGAUACAAUGGUGAAAAUUUUACUAGCACUAAUUACUUAGGCGAAAAUAUUUUGUUUAUUUCUAUAUGUAAUAUUGUGUUCCGUAUAUCAUGAUGAGUCGGUUAUGAUAUAUUUUCUGCGGUCCCACCGGAGAAUACAGAAGUAUAUUCCUAUAUACUUUUUCUCAACUCUAUUUUAUAUAAUAGCGUUAGAUAGGUCUCAAUACCAAACUAAGUCUUAGUGCUUUUAAAAGCAUCCUAGCCAAUCUUUAUAAAAUUGAGCUUCUAUGUUUUUAAAAGUACAAGUCAUCGGUGCUUAUGGAUUUUUGGUCUUUAAAUGAAGACUUAAUUAUAUGGUUAGGAUAAAAGUGAUUCUCUAGGAUUAAAUGGGUGGUUGGUGGAAUGGCAUGAUUUAAGGGGUGGAAUUGGUCAAAGGGAUAGAUCUAACGGUGAAAAACCUGUUUGGUGCUUGCAAAAGUACCAUAGUUGGACUCUCUUUUUAUCUCUCUCUGUUAUGCCCCAAAUCCGAGGCGUAAUAGAUGCCCGCAUAUCUACUAAAUUAAUAGAUAUACAUGGCUACAGAACUAGAAAGAAAAUAGGCAAAAUGAUGAUCACAAAGAUUCCAUUAAAUCCAAAAUGUAGCUACGUAGAAAAAACAAAAUAUAUAACAAUGAAUUCAAAAUGAAUUCAAAAUAUAUAACUACAGAACUAAAUUCAAAAUGAAUUCUAACAUAUAUAUAAAACUAAAUUUUACUGCAAAACACAAAAAAAAAAUUUGGUCACUAAAUACCAUAAAUAACAAAAUGUAGCUACGUAGAAAUAACAAAAUAGAAGCAGAUAAACAAAUGAUCAUUUACGAAGUUCAAAAAUUCACAUUUACAUAUUCUAAACAUAAAAUAAAAGAAACUAAAAUCAAACACUAACUACAUUUAAUGUUAACUCGGUCCCGACCCCAUCCAGGCAAAUCAAUCUUGAUACCUGAGUAAGCAACCAUAUACCAUAUUAGUCGGAUUAAGCAUACAAAUAAAUAUAUACAAAAAUUAAUUUAAGUGAUCGAUCUUUAAUUUGUAAAAUUUUAGAAAUAAAGAUUAUCUGAAUUUAAAAUUCAGAUCAAAUAGGAACUAUAAAUUUACAAAAUAUUUUCUCUUUCAGCAAAUAAAUAAAAUAAAAAUUAAGUUUCCGGCAACUAACUAUAUUGUGUGAUCUUAUAGUGAGAUUCAGAGGCACCCAUAGUGUCACGCCCCGGAUUACUGGUUUUUCCGGGCACGCCGACAAAUCCGUUGUAUACAAAGAAAUAUUUCCUGUAUACGAAGCGAUAGCUGUACCUGUACCUGUAAUCAUACAACACUACAACCGAUAGUAUAGAGCUGCUAAAAAGAAAAUAUAUGUAAAUAACAUCGGUUCAAAUACAUACAUAGUAUCCAGAUACAAAAACACUCGCUCCAGCGAGAAUCUAACAUCAUUAUGUACAAGAACCAAAAGCUAACACUACCUGUAGCGGAUAAAUCUCUAGAUCAGCAGCAACACUGGAAGUGAUUUAACUCGCGACUCCCUUUUCACGAUCAGUAUCUGCAACAGCAGCAGCCGAAGAAGAAGACUCUGUAAAAGGGUUCCACAACAGGGUGUGAGAACUACUGCAAAAAAAAAUAGUUCUCAGUGGG
rnacentral:lncRNA from 1 species